rnacentral:tRNA from 1 species
GGGGUUUUAGCUCUGCUGGGAGGGCGCUUGCGUGGCAUGCAAGAGGUCCGCGGUUCGAUCCCGCGUAGCUCCACCA